rnacentral:misc_RNA from 1 species
AACGCAAGUUGCGCCCCAAGCCUUUAGGCCGAGGGCACGUCUGCCUGGGUGUCACACAUCGUCGCCUCAAAACCCAUCGUCCCUCUACUAGGGCAUUAGGGCGGGGCGGAAAAUGGCCUCCCGUGAGCCCCCGCAAGCGGUUGGCCCAAAUCAGAGCCCGAGGCGUCGAGCGCCACGACUAGCGGUGGUUGGCAUGUUCCAAUGACUCCCAAACCCAGUCGCGAGCGGUCGGCGCCGAGACACGGUGCUCCCGGACCCUUAAGCAACGCGUAGCGAUGCUCGUUAUGCGACCCCAGGUCAGGCGGGAAUACCCGCUGAAUUUAA